rnacentral:rRNA from 1 species
CCAAUAGCGUAUAUUAAAGUUGUUGCAGUUAAAAAGCUCGUAGUUGAAUUUUAGGCCUGGCCGGGCGGUCCGUCUUUGGCGAGUACUGUCCUGUGUCGGGUCUUCCUUCUGGUGAACCAGCAUGUCCUUUAUUGGGUGUGCCGGGGAGCCAGGACCAUUACCUUGAGAAAAUUAGAGUGUUUAAAGCGGGCAUUUGCUUGAAUAGAUUAGCAUGGAAUAAUAGAAUAGGACGUUGUGGUUCUAUUUUGUUGGUUUCUAGGACCACCGUAAUGAUUAAUAGGGAUAGUUGGGGGCAUUAGUAUUCAAUUGUCAGAGGUGAAAUUCUUGGAUUUAUUGAAGACUAACUAUUGCGAAAGCAUUUGCCAAGGAUGUUUUCAUUAAUCAAGAACGAAAGUUAGGGGAUCGAAGACGAUCAGAUACCGUCGUAGUCUUAACCAUAAACUAUGCCGACUAGGAAUCGGGCGACGUUAUUUUCAUGACUCGCUCGGCGCCUUAUG